UACAGAGGUCCCGAGCGUUGUUCGGAUUCACUGGGCGUAAAGGGUGCGUAGGCGGCGUGGUAAGUUUGAUGUGAAAGCUCAGGGCUUAACCCUGAAAUGGCAUUGAAUACUACCAUGCUGGAGGUUUGGAGGGGGGACUGGAAUUCUUGGUGUAGCAGUGAAAUGCGUAGAUAUCAAGAGGAACACCAGUGGCGAAGGCGAGUCCCUGGACAACACCUGACACUGAGGCACGAAAGCUAGGGGAGCAAACAGG
rnacentral:rRNA from 1 species